rnacentral:rRNA from 1 species
UCGUCAGCUCGUGUCGUGAGAUGUUCGGUUAAGUCCGCUAACGAGCGCAACCUCGUCGUAUGUUAUAUGUGUCAUACGAGACUGCCGGUAAAAAGCCGGAGGAAGGUGAGGAUGAUGUCAAGUCAGCAUGACCUUUAUAUCCAGGGCUACACACACGCUACAAUGGUCUGUACAAUGGGUAGCCAAGCCGCGAGGCGGAGCCAAUCCUGAAAGCAGGCCUCAGUUCAGAUUGCAGUCUGCAACUCGACUGCAUGAAGCCGGAGUUGCUAGUAACCGCAGGUCAGCAAUACUGCGGUGAAUACGUUCCCGGGUCUU